rnacentral:lncRNA from 1 species
AUAUCUGUUUCAUAUUAGAAUAACUUAAGCAAAAUCUUUAGUUAUAUAAGCAUAUAUAAAAUAUUUACCAUAAAUAAAUGUAGUAUCAGGGCCAAAAGGCCUAAGGUAUCGGCCGAACCGUAAACAAAGUACCGUUCAUCAUCAAUGUAUCGUUGGGUCUUUUUAAGUGGACAGUUUUCGUGGAAAGGACCUGCGUGACCUUGACCACGGGCGCUUCGGGAUACCUGUUCCGAAGGACGGAAAAAGGCAAAGAGACGUUAAGGAGAGUGUUAGUGGAGAUGUCGGAGUGGACGGAUGCCAAAUGUGUGCAGAGUGUGCAGAGUGUGCAGAGUGUGAGUUGAGAGGCGAGAGCGAGCGAGUGUGGAAGCGGAAGAGUAUGAAUUGGGAAGUCGAAAGCCGCCUGUGAGAAUAGGACGUACAACAGCAUUGUAAUCAUUUCGUUGCUUCGAAUAUCAUUUAUUAAAUCAAAACAUCAUUACUUGUCCUUUCCUCUAAGACCCAUUUAGAUACUACAUAAAUCAAUGGUCGAUCAAGUGUUACAUCUUUUGUAUUUGUACAUUAUCUUCUAUCAAAAUUUAACAGGCAUCUUUCAAUACGACGCACAUCUGACCAUGUGUGUGUUACGCAAAAUAAAAAAAAAAGAAA